rnacentral:rRNA from 1 species
ACGGGAGGCAGCAGCUACGAAUAUUCCGCAAUGGACGAAAGUCUGACGGAGCGACGCCGCGUGGAUGAUGAAGGUCGGAAGAUUGUAAAAUCCUUUUAAGCAUGAAGAAUAAGCAGGACAGGUAAUGGUUCUGUGGUGACGGUAGUGCUUGAAUAAGCAACGGCUAAUUACGUGCCAGCAGCCGCGGUAAUACGUAAGUUGCGAGCGUUGUUCGGAAUUAUUGGGCGUAAAGGGCAUGUAGGCGGAUAUGCAAGCUUGGUGUGAAAGGCGGGAGCUUAACUCCCGGACUGCGUUGAGAACUGCAUAACUAGAGGGACUGAGGGGCAGGCAGAAUUCCAGGUGUAGGGGUGAAAUCUGUAGAUAUCUGGAAGAAUACCAAUGGCGAAGGCAGCCUGCCAGCAGAUGACUGACGCUGAGGUGCGAAGGUGCGGGGAGCAAACAGGAUAAGAUACCCUGUA